GACGAACGCUGGCGGCGUGCUUAACACAUGCAAGUCGAACGGAAAGGCCCUGCUUGUGUGGGGUGCUCGAGUGGCGAACGGGUGCGUAACACGUGAGUAACCUGCCCUUGACUUUGGGAUAACUUCAGGAAACUGGGGCUAAUACCGUAUAGGAGCUCCUGCUGCAUUGUGGGGGUUGGAAAGUCUCGGCGGUUGGGGAUGGACUCGCGGCUUAUCAGCUUGUUGGUGGGGUAGUGGCUUACCAAGGCUUUGACGGGUAGCCGGCCUGAGAGGGUGACCGGCCACAUGGGGACUGAGAGACGGCCCAGACUCCUACGGGAGGCAGCAGUGGGGAAUAUUGCACAAUGGGCGGAAGCGUGAUGAAGCAACGCCGCGUGCGGGAUGACGGCCUUCGGGUUGUAAACCGCUUUCGCCUGUGACGAAGCGUGAGUGACGGUAAUGGGUAAAGAAGCACCGGCUAACUACGUG
rnacentral:rRNA from 1 species